GAUGAAGAACGUAGCGAAAUGCGAUACUUGGUGUGAAUUGCAGAAUCCCGUGAACCAUCGAGUCUUUGAACGCAAGUUGCGCCUCAAGCCAUUAGGUUGAGGGCACGUCUGCCUGGGCGUCACAUAUCGUUGCCUGAUGCCAGUUUCCUCGUGAUGGGUGACUGUGCAGGGCGAAUGAUGGCUUCCCGUGAGCAUUGUUGCCUCAUGGUUGGUUGAAAAUUGAGUCCUUGGUAGGGAGCGCCGUGAUAGAUGGUAGUUGAGUGACGAACGAGACCCAAUCAUGUGAGACCCCUACCGAAUUUGGCCUUCAUGACCCACAUGCGUCUUUGGAACGCUCAUGACGAGACCUCAGGUCAGGCGGGGCUACCCGCUGAGUUUAAGCAUAUCAAUAAGCGGAGGA
rnacentral:misc_RNA from 1 species